AGAGACAGCAGUCGCCACGGUAAUACGUAGGUGGCAAGCGUUGUCCGGAAUUAUUGGGCGUAAAGGGCUCGCAGGCGGUUUCUUAAGUCUGAUGUGAAAGCCCCCGGCUCAACCGGGGAGGGUCAUUGGAAACUGGGAAACUUGAGUGCAGAAGAGGAGAGUGGAAUUCCACGUGUAGCGGUGAAAUGCGUAGAGAUGUGGAGGAACACCAGUGGCGAAGGCGACUCUCUGGUCUGUAACUGACGCUGAGGAGCGAAAGCGUGGGGAGCGAACAGGAUUAGAUACCCCAGUAGUCCCUGUCUCUUAUAC
rnacentral:rRNA from 1 species